AAGCGAGCAGCCAGCCCCCUCAACCCUUUACACUAAGGAACAGUUUUUGACUUAAGCCUAUUUUGUAUCUUGUAAGAAGAUUAAAAGAAUUAAAGAGAAACCUGUUCAGUCCAUUUAAUAUUAAGCAUAUGACACAUAGCUUCAUCUUGUACAGGGUCAGAAUAAACAGAAGGACAUAAUGAUUAUACAUAUUUCAUGCUGCUCUUGAGCAACUGAAACUUCUAAGCUGGAAUACCCUGCCUGAAUCCAUCUCCAGAAGAUCCCCAGAGCUUUGUAGUUGCAUACAGAUACCAGCAGCCACAGUUCUUGGAAAACUAUCCUGAGUGAGCAGAGUAAUCACUUCAGUAUACUGAAAAGGAAAGCUCCCUUGGCUGUGCUGCAAAGGUUUUGAGGAAGUGAAAAGUGGUUGGCCGUGGGUGGGAUGGGGCUGAAGUCACAGCAUCCCUGCAGACCCUGCCUAAGAGGUUCCACACAAAUCAGUACUUCUCUCAUCAAAGGUGUGAGUAGACUCUGCUCAUCAAUCACAUCAGUGCAAUGGUGGCACAUUGGUGUGGGGGACAUGGAGAGGACAAAAAUUUUUGCCUUGAAGGAGGGACCCUGCAGCAGAGCUGUGCCUGCCAGCCCAUUCCCCAGGACUGCAAGACAAAAGUGAUAUGAGCAUGGUGACUUCUUGCCAUACUGGCCAUGCCUAAAGCCCUUGCCUGUCCCUCAGUAAAUGCCAAACUAAGUGCAGCCAUUUUGAGGACUCUGUACAGUAAAACAAGUCACUGGCUGACCUAGAUGGAAUAAUUACAGAAGUACUUACAAUGUACUUCUUCACAACCACCAUAAAAGUCCUGGCUAAUUCCCAACUGCUUUUACAAUCUGUUUGCCUGAGUUGUUAGCAGGAUAAAAGCUCCAACUACAGUUUAUUUGCAUGGUAUAGGAACAUACAUCUGCCUAAUAUCUCUAUUUGUUUACAGCACUGUGUUUCUUCAAAAUGUACAUACAGUAAAUAUUGUCAAUCAUAAACAAUCCAUAAUGAACUAACAAACUGUUGUCUUUGUACUGGGAGUAGCUGGUAUAUUGGUAUAUACCAUGAGAAUCAGCAUUUGGAGAUGUGCCAGGUGAGAUAGAAUUGGGAUGGGUUUCUGGCCUUGUCACAGCCAGUUAUUGCUUUGAGCUGGGUUUAUAUGUGACAAUACCGUGCUUGGGUAUCUGGGCAUAUUUUUAAACAUAUAUAGACAAUGGUAAAAGUUAUGUGUUUCUGUCUGGAGACACAGUCUAGCCCCAAAAUAAAACCAUCCAACAAUAAUCCAUACAUGUAUUUGCCCCACAUUUUAUAUUAUUUAGGCUGCAAUUUCAGUUAAGUCAAUAAAUUUGCAGAUUUGAAUUAUCGAGUAGCGACUAAAUACAGCAAAUGAGUAGAAUAUAUACAUACUGACAAGCUAGUGAUUUACAGCAGAACUCAUUAGCAAGCAGACACCUUACUAGGUUGCUCAGAUAAAAUCUAAGGUUUUCUCUAUCUCAGUUUUCUUCCUGAUAGCAGAAAUUCUGGCUUCUCCUUUUGCCCUUUCCCCCUUGCUACUUCCAUCAGGAAUAAGGAAGUGUAAAGGUACCUAUAUGCUUUGCUCACACUAUGUGAAACACUGCAAAGCAUACACACCAGCGCAUAAAUAGGUAGAGGAGCUGCAAAUAUGCUUUGUUCAAGCUCUGCAUCUGUUAUAAAUGGCCCCAUGGUACAAAGUGAGCAAAGGCACAAGCAUUUAAAAGGGCAAAACUCAGACUCAUUGAUACAGGCCAACAGGGUAGCUCUGCUGAGGUGCUUUAUGAGUCCUUCUCUUUUGCCUUGCCCUUUUAUUGCUCUUUACCUCUGUACUCACCUUUUGUACGUGCAAAUGCUCAGAAGAACAACUUGAUGCUUCCAGGCCAAAGUUUAGCAAUGAGUUUACAUUCAAAUCUUUAUGUUUGGCAAUUGGCUGUUGUCAUGUACACAUGCAAAUCUACCAAGUGCAAAUCCACUAAGCAUGGGGCGGAGGAACAGCAUCUCUUGCAAUGAACUAAGGAAUUCACAUUAUAAUCCUGCAAGACACCUUAAAGCAGGCACCUCCGCCUUUUGGAGGUAAUAAACAUUUAUAAUUAUAUUAGCACUCUGGUGGAGUCAGCAGGUCUUUGAGAUCUCUACCUGAAAGAUGAAACAUACAUCCCAAAACACAAAGCUCUUAACUUCAGAGUUAAACAUAAAGGAAUAGUUUUUGGAAUAUGUUUUGUUAAACAUAAAGGAAUAGUUUUUACAAAACCCCAACAACAACAACAGAGAACUCUUCAAGUUAGGCAGAACAGAAACAGAAGUUUUCUAAAUUAACCCCUUGUUAGUUUAGGUUCUUCCAAACACUUUUCUCUGUCCAUCCUGUCCUAAAAGUGGAUCACUCAACUAAUCAUGCUUAACAGCACCAGAGAAAAGCAUCUUGUUCCCUUUCCAAGGUUCCAACCACAGCUGCAGCAAUGAAGACAGAGGCAGCAUCUUCCCUGGUGCCAAAACAACAGCCUGUAUGUUUUGUUACACACCAGGUUCCAGGGAACACAAUAGUCAGUGAACAGAAAGAGAGCAGGUACCCCCUGCAAGCUGCAGAAGGAGGCCCAAGGCUUUGCCCUGCAUCAGUUGGGUUAGAUGCCCUGUAACUGCCUGCUUUGUCCUGUUCCAAACCAGCUGUGUCCAGGUAGGAGCUCAUUAGAGGCAAAGAUAUCUGUCAGUUUUGUGUCUUGUGUUGACUUAUGUGGUUUAAAUGAAGGCAUGUUAGUGCAUGCACAGUGCACAUGCAUGUUUAUACUCUAUAAACACCUACAUUGUCAGUAUUGCAAGAUAGCAAUCUCUUGUGGUCACUUGAUUGGGGAUGUAGAGCCUGUGUAAAGGAAAGCAUGUAGGCAGUCACUGUGGAGAUAGGUGCAAGAGGCUGGUGAUUUCACCCCAGAGCUGUAUGCCCUCAGACUGUGACCCAGCUUGUGAGCUGAUGAGGUAAACACAUUUCACAUCCCAUGUAUGCAUGAAUUUGACAAAGCACAUUUACCUACUUUACUUAAAAUUUCAGCAGAAUGAUGACAAACAAAGCAAUUAUCUAUAUUUUAGAUUAUUUAGGUUGUGUUUUCAGUGAAGUCAAUAAAUUAGUGGAUCUGAAUUGUCCAGUCACCAUAACCAGGAUAACCAGGUCACAAAAUAAAAAAAGUAAGGUUUUUUAAGCUUAUCUAAGAAUAUAAUGAAGGUCUAGUUUUCUUUUAACCAGAAAAACUCAGCUACUAUUUAGCUAAUAUUUUAUUGACACAAUUAACAAGUCCCUGGAGGACCCUGUCAUUACUGGCCAUAGGUGUUUGUGGAAUAUUAAGGGUAUAUUUUGGUCUUUGGCCAGUUAAAUGAUCCAAGCAGACAACAACUGUACCUGAGGUCAGUUCAAGAAGUGUACUUAUACAAAUGCUUGCAACACAUCCUUAAAUCUCCCUGCUUUUACAUGUUAGCAGUUUCACAUUGGUUUUGCCAUCUCUAUGCAGUUACUCUGUAUUUUGAAGAUUUAACAUGCAGACAGAUGAUGGCUGAAUCAUCUCCAACAGCAGUUUUCCCCUAACACUGGCUUUUUCUCUGAGAACAUACCAGUGGCAGUGUUUUCCUUUUCAGCACCUGUAAGAGAAACAGUUCGCCCUCCUCCUCUCUGGCCAUGACUUAAUGACACAAUAAAUCCAACAUUAGGGCUCUUGGCAUUGGACCAGAUAUACCAUAACCUGCUACCCAAGGAUCCAGCUUUCACUCACACUGUCAGUUAAAAUUGCUCUAAAAUUUUGCUGAUUUCUUACUGAAACACUUAAUGUGAUUAAAACUACUGCUCUCUCUGUGCCAUUGUCACUUCAUGUCAGAUUAGAUAUCAGCUACCAACUGUUAAAAACUCAUAUCAACUCCAUACCAGACAUACUUAAUUCAAUGCCAACGUGGUCAUGUGCCCACACUGAACUGGAACCAAACCUAUAUGCUUGGAGAUCCAUCACUGCACACAUCCAGUAAAAAUGAUGGAAAGAGCCUCACACAUGCACUGCACAUACUAAAAUUAAGACAUGCCUUCACUGAGAAAAAGUUAAAACAUGAAUGGUUCAAGCAGCUGUUUAAUUUCUUAGGAUAUCUCUCCUUAAAGUUACUCUGGGAUUUUAUCAAAUUUGGUGUUCCUACAUAAGGGUGCAAGGCAGUGUGUAAGGAUCAUGGUUGAGAAAACAGCCCUGGCUCCUGGUUCAAACUGCAAAUGCAGGACCUCCAUCACUAUCAAUUUUGUUUUACAAAAGUAAUUAAUUUUUUUAAAAGUACAGCAUGUCCUUACAUUCCUUCUUUUCUUGUCAAUCACUGUCAUGCUCUCAGCAUUUUUAAAGCACUCCAGAUUCUUACUGUGGAUGAACAGAACAAGUUAUAAGAGCUCACAGUUCAACUUGUUAGCUUUUGGCCUAAAAAACACAAGGCUGUUUGGCAUUUUGUAAGAGGACAUUCCACUCAUAGCUAAACAGUUUUCUUGUACAAGUUGUCAAGAGGAUUUUAAAAAGCUUUGCAUGUUCUUCAUGUGUGAGUAAAUAUUGAGGCUUGGGACUAUAUGGUGUGCUGUUGGUUUUGGUUAUAGUGUUUCAGGGAAGGGUGAGGAGAAGAAUGGAGAAAGAAGUGGCAUAAUUUCUGUUUUAAGUUUGUUCUUUAACUCCUGGCUGCUUGUGUUUACUUACAUUUCUAAAAGAUAAAACUGCUCUGGGCACUGCCUCACAUUUUCCGCUGCUUGAAGUUUGAUCUUUCAGUAUUAAAAUAUGGCAGUUUGCAACCACCCAAGUUUUGCACUGUUGAUUUCUCCCAGCAGAUUGACAUGUCUGCCCCACAUCACCCAUGAUCAGGCAGCAGGGUGAUAUUUUUCUGUAGUGUUGUACCAAUAUGUACUUCUUUCCUUUGUCAUAGAAGCAGCAGCAUGCCAGUAGAAAAACAGACCCUGUAAUUACUGUGAAGACUUCUAAUCCUUAGAGUUUCAGUUUGCUUUAAUGCUUGCCUUAGCUCAGCUCAAUAGAAUGGCUGGAGUUGCAAUAGCAUGUGCAAGGUUGUUCUUUAGUAAAUCUCUUUCCCUUUGCUUCUCACAAGAUGAAGCACCCCAUAGCAUUGCUGCAAGGCAGAGACAAGAUACAUGCAGGAAAGAGUAGAGCUUGUUUUGCUGAUAGGAAACUGCUUUUUGAAGGAGAAGCAGACCCUCCUCUGAGCAUGCGUUCUCUUCAAACAUGUCACAACUUCUCUGUUUCUAAAGUCCGUCCUGUCAAUUCCUUCCUUGUUGAUUUUGGCAGAGAGUUCAGACAAAUCAAUUAACUGGUGACAAAUCUCUGCUCUAAAAAAGUAAGAUCCCACUGGAAAAACCAAGAAUAGCCAUAAGAAAUGUUUCACAAGAAAAUGCCUCGUGUUGCAUUUAAUUUAUCAAAGGCUUUGCAAAAUUCUGUGCCUUGAUGAAGCAACUGUCAGUUGUGAAUUUCUAAAGGCAUUGCAUUUCAAACCUGGAAAACUGUUGGCUCUUUUACCCCACCCAUGUAAUUUGGUUUGUUCCACUUUCUCUCCUCCUUCUUUGUAGGAUAACAGCUAAAAUGAGCUGCUUCUAGGAAGGCACAGUGGCUUUAAACUGGCACAUACAUUAUACUUGAGUUCACACUGGGUCCAGCAGUGGGCAGGAUCAAUAAGUGACUGUCCUAGGUUGCAAUGCACGAUGUAACUACAAAGGAAGACCAGACCUGUCUGCACCUCCACUGGACCUUCAGAGGAGAACUGCACCCUUCUGCAGGAUUACUGCGUCAAGAGAACCACAUUUGUCACUCCAAGGAGGACUGCAGCCACCAUUCAAUCAGACUGCUACCAACACCCUAACCAACAGGGUAUCAGUAGUCAGUACUUUUUUUUUUUUACUACUGCAUUUUUAUUUUAAUUUUCCUAGUAAAUAACUGUUAUUCCUAUUCCCAUAUCUUUGCCUGAGAGCCCCUUAAUUUCAAAAUUUUAAUAAUUCGGAGGGAGGGGGUUUACAUUUUCCAUUUCAAGGGAGGCUCCUGCCUUCCUUGGCAGACACCUGUCUUUUCAAGCCAAGACAGUGACUUAUGACACUGUCCUAGAGAUGAACAGGAAUGUUUCUCUGGCAGAAACAAAUUAACAACAACAUCACCCUGCAAUCUCCAACUAUUUGGCAGCACACCCAGCAGUCUGCACAGCCACUGGAAAUGCAGCUCUUCAGCCAAGACGUUAUGUCAAAGUUAAACUAACCUUAACCACUCAAAGUUAGGGCCAUCCAGCCUGCUCUACCCAAGCCUUUGCUAUAUUCUGUAGAGAAAGGAUAAAAACACCUAACGAAAUACCUCACUAAAGAUUUUGUGUUAUGUUUUCAGGCACCUAAUCUAUUUCAUCCUUGAAGGGUCAGAUGUCAUAUUGCUGAGAUUUCAUUGGCAUUAGGGCCUCUCUCCAAAAGGCAGUGAAAUACAAUCUUGUGGAGCAUUACAGUAUGUACUUUCCAUCUGAAUCCAGAACUCUGUGGACCCCUGGACUCAUUACACUGUGGGAGGACAGGUACAUACAGUAGGUACAUACAGUAAAUACAAGUAAUUAAUCCCCCAAAUAAAAAAUUCUAACUUAAACCUAACUAUACACAGGUAAUUUUUCAGUAUGUUAUUAUAAUUCAAAUCAGCAGUGAUGUGGAUCAAACCUUUUCCCUAGGAAAGAGCAGUAAUUAAUCAAAAACUGGUAAAACUGGGACCAGUUCAAGUGAAAACAGUUGUCCAGUAUCAUCAAUCCAAAUCCCAGGGGAGAGGUCGCAAACAACAAAGAGCUUGUACAGGGAAGGCUCAAGGGUUAGAGAUGACUCAAUAUUUCACAGCAUUAUUGCAAACAGGAAGAGGCUAUUUCAUAAGUCAUGGGUCAUUUCCAUAACUUGAAAGCCCAUCUGUAUACAAACAGGUCAUUACAGCAAGGAAUCACACACAGGAUUUUCCAUCUUAACCUCAAGCAGAGUACAAGUGCUGUGCACGCUUACAUCCUGCAGAAAGCUCUGAUUAGUCUGGUGUAGACUGGAAACUUCCAGAAGAACCACAGUGUAUGCUGGUGUCAUGAACACACCCUUGUGUCUGCAAUAAUCUUCUCUUAUCCUCCUGACCCUUUUCCUCUAAUCCCUUAAUCAUUGUUGUGGCAUGUGUCUAUAUUUACAUACAUCAAACGCUUCUUGCACUAUGGACAUGGUUUUGGAAACAGGCUCAAAAGGCUUGAUACCUGCCAAUCAGGCAGGAAGAAGGAAGUGAAUCCUAUUCACAUUGGGUAUUGUCUGUCUUCUGUGGAAGAGAAAGCCGGAGGUCAUCUGCUGUUUGUAGCCUUUUUGAAGAUGCCUCUUCAAUUUUUUCCUUGAGUUGGUCCCUAAGUUGCUCUAUUUCUACACACAGAGAGGAAUUUUACCUACUCUAGUAAAUACUAAGGCUGCAUCUGUGCUAUACUUCUGCAAUUGUUCAAAACUGCUGGUACUCAGGUGUUUGGGUUUUUUAAUUGAAGAUCUUUAGACAGGAAUUCCACUUUGAAAAUUCAUGCACACAUGGUCCCAUGUGGAAUUCCACUGAUUUCAGAGAAGUUAAUGACUGUCUACUAAUUACAUGAACUGUUACACUUUAUUCCCUUAGAUGUGAAAUCAGAUCUAUAAAAUCUACUCAGUGUGUGCAGGCCUUCAAAGAUGAAGCAGAGUAUUAUCUGACGUUAGCAGCAGCAGGCACAGUGGCUGAGCUGUAUCUCAGCUAGAUGUGGAGGUCAGAUAUCUCACCCUGAGCUAGUCUAACCUCUGCUUCCUCUGUGGUCAAUGAACAAACAUCUCAAGAGACACAUUCGUCUCCCUGCAACACAGACACGAGAACUGAGCCCAUUCCUACAUAAACUACUCACAUAAUUAGCCAUUUAGUCAUUAACUGUCGCACAUAGUGAGACUCCAUGUGAGAAUAAUUAUACACGCACAAGAGCUGUUUGGGCUCAGUUUCCUGCUGGCCUGUGUUCUCUACACUGAAAUCUUGAAUUAGGGUAAGAGGUGCUGAAAUCAAUCUUGGGAUGUGUGCAGUGCUCUCCACAGAGUGUAAGGAAAGCACAAGCACACACUGGGUUCUGUUAGGUGUCUGAAGUUCAGUGAAAUUACUUCCUUUCAAUAUUAGUGUCUUAUGUUUCAAUCCCUAAUAAAUGCUAGAGAACUGACAACUUAUGCAAUUAUUUAUUUCAAAUACCUUGAUCCUGGGCAGAAGUAGUUCCCAUUCAAAACCAAUAUUUCAAACCUGUCUUCCUAAACUUAACUAUAUUUGGUUAUUCUCACCUAGAAGAACAAUGCCAGAGGAGAACAAAACAAAAACAAAUUAGCGGAGGAAAGCUGAAACAAAAACCUUUGCUAGAUACUUCUUUCUUGUAAUUACUAACUAAAAAAGAUGAAGUAUUAGGCACCAAAGGAAGCACUGAGGCCAUCAUGCUCACUAUUCACACUGGAGAGUGUUUAAACAUUACAGCAAUACAUGAACGGUCUUAGAGCCACCCUCUGCUGGUGGACACCCACCGGUACAGGGGGCCAGCAGCUAAGGCAGCUACAGCGGCCGCGUCACUUUUAGAGCCAGCAGAGAUCAACGCCCCUGACGUGCAUUUUGCAGCACCACGUAGCAUUCAGCUACCCUAAAGACUUGAGCAGUGUAACCCGAAGGGAUCUGGGAGGGACCGAGCCAGGCCCCCCUCUGUGCCCGUUUGCCUUACAGGGUGCCCUGGGUUCUGCAAGGGGAAGCUGCUAUUCCCUUUCUUCCCUUACAGCUGCAUCCAGCCCGGGUUUCACCUUACAGCCGUGUCCCUAGGAGUUUGCCAGGAGAGAUGAACAGGAUUUAUGAUUGCACAAACCGUGCUCUCUUUGCUGCUGUGCAGGCAAAAGAGGUGGGCUAGGAAACCACAAACCCUGCCUGAACAAACCCUCUACCAACUUGCACAACCACCUGCAUGAUUUAAUUUAAAUUAAAAUACAAAUAUAAUGUUUCUGUUUUGAAAAUUAGGCCUUCUUUUAUGACUUCUACUGUUUUCUAAAAAAAUAACACAAAGCUGCCUUGAAUUUUGGACUCAGAAAUGUGAACAUACCUGCUGAUGUCAAAACCAGGCUAUAUGCAAAUGGAUGAAUAGUUAAAACUGUAUCAAGGAGCUCUUUAUGUAUGGAUGGCUUCCAAUAUAAUCUUUACUGAAGAGAGAGCAGUAGUUGACUAUGAUUAUGAAUGCACUACAAAUUAGGGGAACCAUACAGAGGUACUUCUAGGUCUUUGAUUCUCCUUGCUAAAAUAUGUCAGCAAGUUUUCCAAGGGAGAAUAGCUUUCACACAAAAUACUGUAGAGAUAACGUGUAUGAAGGCCUGGGUUUGCUCAGCCUGCUGACAGGUUUUUGCACUAUUGUAUUUUAGCUGUGACAGGUUGGUCCCCAGCAAUACCAUGGGUCUGCAUCUUCCUGGGCAUCUGCAAAACACCACUUCUGUAUUAGAGGUAUUUGAAGCAACUGGCUACAGAGAUCUGGUUUUCCUCAGGCAUCAUCAGUUUAGGAAAUAGAAUGCACAACUUUAAACUUUUAAAAUGCAAAGGUUAAAUAUAUGAAACUUGGCACAUGAAGAGCAGUGUUUGUCUACUUUUAAAGUGUUAUUACAUCUCUUUCCCUAUCCAGAUUCAAAGAGGGCUCCUUCCCCCAAACUUACUUUUUUCUUUAUAAUGAUGGGAUGCUAUAGGUGGAAUUUUGCAGCCACCAGAAUCACCAUCUCCCCACAGCUAAAAUUUAUUACUAUAGGGAAUUAUCCUAGGGUUUCUCACACACUUAACACUGAGUGCAUUGUACUCCUGAUGGGUGACAAGGAAAUUGUAGAAAAGGAAAGUAAAAAAAAAGGAGUUUGGAAAACCUGUGUGUUGGCAGACAUGUUAGCUAGAAGCAAAAUGGUGAUGAAAACCAAAUGCCAUUUGUGGAUGGUGGACAUAAGCAAAAUAAUGCCUUGUUUUUCCUGCUAAGUCACUGACUGCUGAGCAGUAAAUUCAGGAAAGACUGGGACAGCCAUUCCCUUACACCCAUGGAGGUGAACAUUACCUGGAGGUUGCACACAUAAAGCACUGCCAGAGCCCAGGAAAGUUCAGAACACAGGUUUCCUUUGGGAGAAAUGAUGGUAAAUCAACAGUCACUCAUACCAGACAGAAUGAGUGAGGCAGACAUAUUUCCAAAAGCAAGAUCUUGGCUGAUGUGAUUUGUACCUAGACUGAACUUCAGGUAACAGAGAACUGAAUAUAGCAAAAGGCUGGGAUGCCUGAGGUACCAUCAAACCCGUGUGGAUGAGGCUGCAGUGUCACUCACAAUGAAUGGCAGCAACACCACCCACCCCAGAGAGCAACAUCACUGAAGUGUUGACAGAAACUUGUGAGACCCCUCACAUCCUUGCUUUCAUGGCCAAGCAUGUCACAUGCCUCAGUACUCAUGACAAGGUUAAUCAAUCCUCUCAAGGUUAAGUGUUUAAAAGACAGUUGUGAACAGUUUUAACAAAACAAUUCAUGCCAACUGUAUUUGCUGUGGACCAGACAUUUCUGUUCUAUUUGUUCUCAAGAAGGAAAAGCUUCUCCAUCCUACAAGUUUGUCAACAUAAAGCUCCUCUCCUUUUCCAUGAUUCUCCCAACUUACUAAUUUGAAUUUUAGUAAGUGUUGGAUUAUAAAUAAUAUAUAAAACAAUGUAUACAAAUGUAUUCAAAUACAUACAUUUUAUAUACAUAUAGAUUUCCAGAUAUGUACUUAGAAACAAUUUACACAAUAAAAAUACUUAUGAAUUAUUGUAUAAAUAUUUAUAAUGAAAAACAUUCAUUUAUUCUCUUUGGACCUACUAAAAUUAACUCCAUUUCAUCACCCCCUUGUUUCCAGGAGGUAGCAUGGGAAUGCAGAUCCUCCAGUCACAAUCAACCCUAGAGAUGAGAGCUUUCAGUGGGCAAGAAUUUUCAGGAGGGCAAAUGCACCUCACUGCUGUGAAUUAGUGAAGUGUGACUGCCUGUCAUCCCUGGUGACACACAGCACCCACCUGGCUGCCAGCUCAUGUGAGGAUUGCACGUGCCUCUACUUCAUGUUUGUUUCUCCAGAAAGGUCAACAGCAUCAAGUCUAACUCUUGGGGGAUGUAAUUACUCUCUUAGCUAACAUCCACUGAGGCAGACCAUGUACAGUGAAGCCACUGCAGGUCUCUCUGAAACAGCUGUUAUCUCAUUGUCCUUGUCAGAGGGCAACAUUCACCAUUAUCAGAACGGGGAAAGGAAAUCAUAAUUGCAUAGUAAGAGCUCAUAGCAGAGCAGCCUUCGGUGGAAUCAGGAGCAUUGCAAAAAUGACAAUAAGGAUUAGCUUUUUACCUAUCAUAAAAAGCAACAUUUUAGUACCCAAUUCUCUCCUUUGCUGAUCUGCUCUGCCACUGAAUAUAUAAUUGUAUUUGGCUAUGUGUGCAGGGGUAGUUAAUAUACAACUCCCUAUAUGUAAGAAUUAGUUCCAUCAAAGGAAAAUAUAUUGGUAGUCUCAGUAAUAAAAAAAUCCCCAAACUUAGGAGAAAAGUGUUCCACAUCUUACUCCAGCUGUUUGCACAAGGACUUGUCUGGAGUACAUUGAACAAUCUCUAGUGCUGCUUACAGACAGCAGGGUGGCUUGAGCUGCCUGGUCAGGCUACCCACAGCAAAACCACAAAAAGGCUGGGUCAUGACACCUAACACAGAAAAACAUGGUUAACAAAAGCACCCAUGUGCACAAGGGACACUCGCUUCUCCUCCCCCACAAAAUGAACAGCAUCCUUAGAUGCAUAAUUUAAUGAGUCAAGAGACUUCAGCAACAAGGUAACAACUCUGGACUUUGGCACGGACCCAGCCACCUGGUUUUUCUGCCAUGUUGAAAACGCUCUAAAUCAGUUCACAAACCUAAUUCAAGAAAGCCACAGAACUACAAACCUCCAGACAUCUGCAAUGACCCACAGAAAAGCAUACCCAGGGCAGGGAGUGUGUGUUAACACCCUGAUUAAGACACUGAUAGCUCCGUAUGCUGCUCCAGGUAGUUGCAUUAGCGUGAAAGGGAAUGGCAUACUGCAGCAUGGGAAGGUAAGGGCAGAAGGUAACACCAAACUUCUCCAACUACCAAUGCCACCGCUGCCUCUGCUUCAUGCAACUGCAUUUUUCAAGAGCUCAAAAGCAGGGAAUUCAAGUAAUUACACCACCUGGGAAUGCAAGCCCAAAGUGGCUCUACUAGAAACAAAACAAUGCUGAUACACAUGAAACCAGAACCUGAGGAUUAAGACUACAUUGAGUAAGGUUGCUCAAGCGAUCAACUACACAUCUCUAAGCUAUCUUUCCUGUAUUGUGGCACAUCAGACCUGUUAAGACAUGAAGAACAUAUCCUUCUCACCUUGUGAGGUGUUGUGCAUGCAGAACAAGGCUCAGAAAUCAUUCUGGGUCCUGCAACUCAGCAGGUAUAGUGAGCAAUGCUAGCGUGACCAACUUUAAAUCUCUGCAAGAGCAGUGUAACAUUUUAUUUUUCAUAAAGUUGUGCAUCAGGAAACCAAGGGCUGCAAGAGUAACCACUAAAUUCAUGAGGAAGCAGGUUUGUGUAACUUAUGUGGACUGCAGCCAACACAUGUAGGUUAGCUCCUCACUAGCAAUCCACUAAAUUACAUCCUUAAGACACCACAUGUAAAUAACUUGACAGAAUGGAGCAAGUGAAACCAUGUGAGUGGAAACUUGGCUAGGAACCUGAGAUACUUACUGUCACUGCCAGUUUUCCAGGAAGAGACAUUUGCAAAUAAACAGUAAAAAAAACCCUACCCAAAAAUGGAAGAGUAAACCAGUGGUAACAAACAGAAUUACUAGAAGUUUGGGUAAAGAGUCCAGGGCAAGGAAGAGAGCAAACCCAGGGAACUGUAGCACAGGCAACACAAUCAAAUGAUGCUGUCCUAGGAGCUGCAUGCUUUUUCUCAGUGCAGCAUUACUUACCCAAAAGGAAAUGGUUUCUGUGCACUGAGGAAUGCUCUGACUACAGUACUGUUCUUUAGAUACUCACUGCCCAAGCUUGUAUUUUAAACUGAAUCAUAUAGGAAGCAACAUGUAAUUUUGCACCAUUGCACUCAAAUAGCUGAAGAACCCAAAGACACUUGCACGCAUGAUCAGGGAUUCCAUCAAUUUACGUGCGGGACUUGCUUUGAAAAUUAAUAAUGGUGCAUCACUUCACAUAAACAUAGUUGCUAAAAUUAAAUGUUAACCUCUGGUUAUGGCUUUCACUCUCCCUUCAUCCACCACUCUUCCCCUACAACCUCGCAAAAGAAAGGGCCAAAGAACAGUGCUGGACACUUGCCAUAACCAAAGGCUCAUAUUGCCCUUGACAAAGGAGGUAAUUUCCCAAAAAGCAUUCUUUCAAUGAAGAUAUUCUUAGUGAGCUUUUCAUUUCAGAAUUUAUCUGGCCCUUAAAAAGCCUGUGUUCUCUCCCCUCCCACCUCCUUUUCUUUUUUUUUUUUUUUUUGAUGUUGAAAGGCCUAAAAGCUAGUACCAUGCAUGCUUCAAUGUUUGUCAGCUCAUGGACUGCUCUCCUGGCACAGACAAGCCCAUCAGCUAAACAGUAUCAGUUACCAACUCUGGUUUACCACACCACAACAAAAAUAGAUCUUCACCACAUUAGUGGCAACUGAGUCAGGUGCACACCAACCAUAACCUCUGGGAUACCUCUACCUGCUUUAUGCAAUAUAGGAUUUUAUCAAGCUUUGUGCUGAAGAGGGCAGUGCAUACAGAAAGUACAUCUAAACAUGCACUCCAAGUGUUUCUUGUUCCACAUGGAAGUGCUCAGAGCACCCACUGUACAUAUUAUAGCCAGAACAGUGGCAGCCAAAAGAUUUAUGCUCAGCCCCGAGUCCAUCUGAGCCAUAUUUGUGUGCUAUUACCCAGCAAUCCAGGGGUGAGGAAGGCUUAUCUUCAGUGCACAGCUACAAUCAGCCAGCUGGCUCUGCAGCAGUUAGGGGGACCAAGAAAAGCUACUGUUAGAGGAACUAAGAGUGUUUGACAAAAACUGAAGUUGUUUGGGUGGUUCUGAACUGGGUAGUGGCAUAUAUCCUUUUAAGAGAAAUGCAGUCAGCCUACAGCCUCGUGGUCUUUAGUGGUCAUGUCAGGUUAUCAGUGUAGCUAACAGCUGCAGAACGUUUGAUUCUCCUUGUGUUUAGCAAGUUCUCCCAACUGCUAGUGUGCCUUCCAAAGGGAGAUUCCCACAACUGGAGUCUUGGAGCCUCCUAUCUUUCAGCUACUUGGAGUUUCUCAGAGUCCUGACUAGAACUUUUAAAUUCUGCAUAUUGUGAUUAUCUUCCCCAGUAUCUAAAAUAAAAUCAAUUUCCUGUUUCAGUAUUAGGUGAGCUCUCUUUUCAAAUGAGUUUGCUUAAAUGAACUGAGUGAGUUCGAAGCUGUGGAAGCAACAACUUUUCUCUCUACUGAGUUCUUUCAGAUACCAGAUCUUUAAGAACACAGGGCCUUGCAGCAGCCUGCACACCCUUUCCUGCUGUGUAACUGCUAUUGAACUGCUGCCAUGUUUCAGCUGAAGAACAUGUCCAUCCUAUUUUGGCUCGACUGCUCUUGGAGCACUCUUCUUUUUGCUGAAAGACAAAAAAAAAAAAAAAAAAAAAAAAAAGGAAAA